AUUGAACGCUGGCGGCAGGCCUAACACAUGCAAGUCGAACGGUAACAGGAAGAAGCUUGCUUCUUUGCUGACGAGUGGCGGACGGGUGGGUAAUGUCUGGGAAACUGCCUGAUGGAGGGGGAUAACUACUGGAAACGGUAGCUAAUACCGCAUAACGUCGCAAGACCAAAGAGGGGGACCUUCGGGCCUCUUGCCAUCGGAUGUGCCCAGAUGGGAUUAGCUAGUAGGUGGGGUAACGGCUCACCUAGGCGACGAUCCCUAGCUGGUCUGAGAGGAUGACCAGCCACACUGGAACUGAGACACGGUCCAGACUCCUACGGGAGGCAGCAGUGGGGAAUAUUGCACAAUGGGCGCAAGCCUGAUGCAGCCAUGCCGCGUGUAUGAAGAAGGCCUUCGGGUUGUAAAGUACUUUCAGCGGGGAGGAAGGGAGUAAAGUUAAUACCUUGACUCAUUGACGUUACCCGCAGAAGAAGCACCGGCUAACUCCGUG
rnacentral:rRNA from 1 species